GAGAGGGUGACCUAUUUUUGGAAAGAGCACAGUUUGUGUGUCAGACACACUGGCUUUGAAUUCUAUCUCUACCUCUUUUUAGCUGUGAGACUUUGCACCCAUUACUAUCCUACUCAGAACCUCAACUUACUGUUUGUGAGACAGAGGGGAUAGCAGGGGCCUCACGGGGUCUUAGGAGCUUUAAAUGAUGUACCACGUUAAGUUCUAGAAUGUUCCAGAGUUGGAGUUUACACAAAGUGGCAGCUAUUUCUAUUUUAGUAAGAACUAGGGCAAGGAGAGAAUACUGCUUCUGAAGAGGUGCUCAGAGGAAGGUGAGCAUUGAGGGAGACUGAGAAGGAAAAGUCAGAGAGAUAGGGGGAGAAAUAGGCAAGAGUGUGGGGUAAGGAAGUCAAAAUCCAAGAAGGCUUCAAGAAAACAAUUGGUCAGCAAUGUGAUGUGCCGUAGAGAAGUCAAGAAGAUGAGCACGGAAUCCAGCACAGGAGAUGUGGCCGUCAGGAAGUCUAGGGGCAAAGAGACCUCGCCUUGAAGUAAAUGAGAGAAAAUGAAACCUCCUGAGCUGUCCGGUAAUAGAAAGAAGCUGCAGAACCCUGUUGUCUUCAUCUUUUGUUUAACUCAUGCAACAUUUGAAAGCACGUUUGCCUACAAGAAAUAAAACUUAAGUUGUGAAAUGGCUUAUUAAUGAACUCAGAUGACAAGAAACCAAAACAGCGGGCCUGGCUGAAGGAUUCAUCCCUAGCCCUGAAAGCCAGCGGGGUCUUUCUGUAACAUCAAAGGCACAAACAAUUGAACCGACAUGGGGACUUAUUCUGUCCAGCAGCCCUGGUGGCCUCAGACCAUCCGAAGCAAGGGUAACCUACCAGAAAGCUGCUAGAUGUUCCCCACUACAGUGAAGGAUUAAACAAAGAAUGAAGAAGAAGUAGGACUCAAGAAGUAAAUGAUCCAACUCAAGAAAGAGAUGACCAAGUGGAAUACCUUUUAAAGGCUUCAAGACUUUUCUUUCCCACUCCUCCCUGCCCAUGCGAGGGAGGCUCCAUUUUAAAAUGUAACACACACACACAAAAAAACGGAUUUGAAAUAAGGCAUUAGCCUGAGGUAACUUACCCCCACCUUGGCUCCAGAGCAGCUUGGAUUUCCGAUUCUUUGAGCAGGUCAGUGAUUUGGGGAACCAGUAAAAGAGCCGGGCUAUUCUUCUGAAGGUCUCAUGAAAGUCACUUCUUAUGGCCAUAGCGAGAACCAGGAGUGUUCCAGAAUGACUCGCUACAGAGAGCAUGGAUGAGGAGCACAGUAACACCCACAUAUGACACUUUAGCUGUGAACUGCCUUUCAGCCAAUAUGUCUGGGGACCACCUGUUAGCCCUAAAUCCCCUUCCUCUGUCAUUCUUUUGGCUUGUCCUUUAGACCUUGGCCCUCAUAACUAGAAACUGUAUUAAUAGAUGUUCUUUCUAAAGAAAGAGUUUUAAGCUUUCUUAAGAGAAGCUCUAACCUAAUGCAACACUUGGUAAUUUUCAAGCAUGGACCUCCUGACCUCGUUCAUAAAAACACAAUUUUUUCAUAGAGGAGUGAAAAAAAACAGGAUCCACUA
rnacentral:lncRNA from 1 species